ACUCCUACGGGAGGCAGCAGUGGGGAAUAUUGCACAAUGGGCGCAAGCCUGAUGCAGCCAUGCCGCGUGUGUGAAGAAGGCCUUCGGGUUGUAAAGCACUUUCAGUCGUGAGGAAGGUAGUGUAGUUAAUAGCUGCAUUAUUUGUACGUUAGCGACAGAAGAAGCACCGGCUAACUCCGUGCCAGCAGCCGCGGUAAUACGGAGGGUGCGAGCGUUAAUCGGAAUUACUGGGCGUAAAGCGCAUGCAGGUGGUUUGUUAAGUCAGAUGUGAAAGCCCGGGGCUCAACCUCGGAAUAGCAUUUGAAACUGGCAGACUAGAGUACUGUAGAGGGGGUAGGAAUUUCAGGUGUAGCGGUGAAAUGCGUAGAGAUCUGAAGGAAUACCGGUGGCGAAGGCGGCCCCUGGACAGAUACUGACACUCAGAUGCGAAAGCGUGGGAGCAAACAGGAUUAGAUACCCCUGGUAGACUGUCA
rnacentral:rRNA from 1 species